GGUAAAUCUCGAGUUCAGUGGCAAACGGGUGAGUAUAAGGUACGAACGUACCUCUUUGCGGACCAUAGCCCAUCGAAAGAUGGGGUAAUAGUCCAUAGUCUCGCAAGAGUAAAGACGCAAGUCACGAAGAGAGCGGCGUACCCACUACCAGCUAGUUGGUAAGGUAACGGCUUACCAAGGCUAUGACGGUUACCGGCUCUUAGCGGAGAGUCCGGCACAAUGGGACUGAGACACGGCCCAUACUUCUACGGAAGGCAGCAGUUAGGAAUUUUGCGCAAUGGACGAAAGUCUGACGCAGCGACAUCGCGUGAAGGAUGAAGGCCCUCGGGUCGUAAACUUCUUUUGACCCCCCAUGAAGGGGGGAGGAAUCAGCAACUACUAACUACGUGCCAGCAGUCGCGGUAAUACGUAGGUUGCAAGCGUUACCCGGUUUUAUUGGGCGUAAAGCGUCUGUAGGUGGUUUUUCAAGUCCUAUUUCAAAGACCGGAGCUCAACUCCGGGCAGGGGUAGGAUACUGGAAGACUAGAGUUAUGUCGGGGUUACUGGAAUUUGCAGUGUAGGGGUAAAAUCCGUGGAUACUGCAAAGAACACCAAGAGCAAAAGCGGGUAACCAGUCAUAUACUGACACUCAGAGACGAAAGCUAGGGUAGCAAAUCAGAUUAGAGACCUGAGUAGUCCUAGCCCUAAACGAUGCCUGUUAAUUCUGUUCACUUUGUGUGGGCGGGAUGUAAGCUAACGCGUUAAACAGGCCGCCUGGGGAGUAUAGCCGCAAGGCCGAAACUUAAACGAAUUGGCGGGGAGGCGCACAACCAGUGGAGCAUGUGGUUCAAUUCGAUACGAAGCGAUGAACCUUACCUGGGUUUGAAAUGUACCUGCAAGCUACAGAGAUGUAGAAGCCUUCGAGGGUGGUACACAGCUGUUGCAUGGCUGUCGUCAGCUCGUGACGUGAGUUGUUCUCUUAAGUGAGGUAACGAGCGCAACCCCCAUCCCGUGUUACUGUGUCACGGGAGACUGCCCAGCAUUAUUUUGUUGGGAGGAAGGAGGGGACGAUGUCAAGUCAUCAUGAUGCUUAUAUCCAGGGCUACACACAUCCUACAAUGGGUUGUACAGAGGGUUGCCAAGCCGCAAGGCGGAGCUAAUCCCUAAAACAUCCCUCAGUUGGGACUGCAGGCUGAAACUUGCCUGCACGAACUCGGAAUUGGUAGUAAUCGCGGAUCAGCAGACCGCGGUGAAUACGUUCUCGCCUCUUGCACACACUGCCCGUCAAAUCAGCAAAGUUGGGGGUACCCAAAGUCUGGCCUCGUGCCGGACCAAGGUAAAUCCAGCGAUGAGGGUUAAGUCGUAACAAGGUA
rnacentral:rRNA from 1 species